GAUAGCCUCAUGCUGUUGGGUUGCUUUUGAUUGAGUGGCAUACAUCCAGAGCUACGCUACAGUACAAACUUAGAUCAAAACAUAUUCAUAUGUUACAAAGGCCUAAGCCUAAAUCAACUGAAUAUCUGUGGCAAGACUUUAAAGUUGCUGCUGGCAGCCAAUUUCCAUCCAAUCUGACUGAGCUCGUGCUUAUUUGUAAAUAAGAAUGGUCAAAAAAUUCAGUCCCCAGAUGUGGAAAGCUUCUAAACAAUCCCCAAAGUCUUGCAGAUGUACAGUAAUCACUGUAAAAGGUUGAUGUAAAUUGUAUUGAUUCAGAUAGUUCUUUGUAGUGUUGUGAAAAACAAACAAACAACAAAAAAAAAACAAUCUACUCUUUUGAGGAAAACCCCAAAUAAAGCAUGUGUGGUUGUGACAUGACAAAAUGGGAAAAGAUCCAAGGGGUAUGAAUGUUUUUGCAAGACGCUGCUGGCGUGUAUUUUAGAUAGGAGUAAUAACUCACUAUGGAAUCUGCUUUACUGAAGACGUCGAGCAGCUCCAAAUGACGCGUUUGACUCACUCAAUUAAACCACCUCUAGUAAUUACAGCAAAUGUCAAAGGUUUUGUCCUUGGUGAGCACUGGAUUAUGAAAGAUCCAUCAACAUUACGGCACUAAACUGUGGAGGGACAACAACGAUGGAAUAAAUGGAACUUGAUGGAUUUUCUGCUUAAAAAUUUCCCUUUUCACCAGAAAUUUUUCCUGAGUCAACUUUAUCUUUAAAAGCAGAGCAAAGGAUGUAAUUCUAGCUAUUGGCUUUCAAUGAAGGUAACCAGAGAAUCUCUGUCCUUACACAAGAAAUGAAUAGGAACACGGCGACCUACCAGAGUGUACCCAACCUCUUGCCCAAUGACAGAAUCCUGCAAGGAUAAGCAGAUUGUGGAUGCUGUGUAACGGGGAUCUCUGCCCCACUGUCACUGACCUCUCCCUCCUGUGGCAUUCCUUCGAGAACCCUGCCAGAAAAAAUACACACUCUGCAUGCUUGGGAGUAAAAGAAAACACCGUCUGAGGCUUUGAAAGCGUCUCACAUCCAUGUUUUCAUGUACUGGCCAUGAAAAACUGCAGAGUUUAUAAAAGUUUUCAACACAUA